UAGUGGGGGUUGGGGAGCGAAUACUAACUACCAUGGCAAAUUGCUCUAACUAGCAGAGCAGAUUGAGUGCUAGAUCUGGGCUCAGAAGAACUGGUUUCAAAUCCUGCCUUUGAUAGUUGUUUGCUGCAUUGGCUAGUGACUAUCUUCCUAAGACUUAGUUUCUUCACCUAUAAAACAGGCAUAACAUCUAUUGUAUCUCCCGUACAGGCACAUUUGGAAAAUGGAAGUAUAUCCAGAGGAGGAAAGCCAGAAUAGUAAAAAGAAUAACAAUCAAGCCAUAUAAAGGAAUGUUUAACCUGAAGAAGAGAAGAAUUAGGGGUGAAUGAGGAAAGUACAACCUGCUGGGGACAAUGAGAUCAAGUGAAAGAGAGAGAGGGAAAGCAUCAGAGGUUGAGUCCUUCACUUUGAGAAGAAGCAACCAAACAUUUAUUAAACACCUAGUAUGUGCCAGGCACUAUGUUCAGCACUUUACAAAUAU